rnacentral:lncRNA from 1 species
UCGAACAAUGUCAUGAUGAAAAACUUGUCUUGCCAGAGUGGUUUUGCCAAUACCACCCAUCCCUGAUAUGGAAACCACUUGAAUGUUAUCAUUCUUCACCAAAUGACCAACCAAUUCUUCAACACUCUCUUCCACCCCAACAAGGCCCUUUUCAGAACUCUUAGGAAAUGUUUGUCGGAUCUCCCUCUGCACCCUUUGUCUCUCUUUUAGAGACAGUGAACGACCAUCAUACAUGAUUUCUUUUAUUCCAAAGCUCUGCAUUUCCGCAACAACCUCAGACAUUCUCUUAGUUAUGCCUUCAAUUUCUAUAGAAAUAUCUCGGCGCUCCACUAAGAAACAAGAAAGCCCUUUCACACGCCUCUUGAUCCAUUUUUCGUUACCACUAGAUUCUUUCAAAAGAAAGGAUUCAAUUAUAUCUUCAGCAUCGUAAACAAUGUCUUUGACAUCUUCCAAGAAGUUUCUCACAGCUUCAUUUUUAUGUUUCUUGGCAUCUGCAUCUUUCAACAAUGACUGUAACUUUCUCAUUCGGCGUUUUAGAUCAUCAACAUGCUCGUGCACUCCCUGCAAUCGCUCAGAUUCUCGACUCAGGAGGUCCCAGAGUUUCUCCAUUCCAAAGGACACAACUCCCUCAACCAUCGCUGACACAACUACCUCAGCCAUCACUGAUUUCCUGUUCCAACGUCAACACAUAAGCCAACAAAAUAAUACAAAUAUCAAUCAGAGGAACUUAUUUUAAAUCAAACAAACUAAGAAUAAGAUUUGAUUAAAUGCCUUAAAUUCGCGAAACAAGAUUUUCUGAUAAUCCAAAUAAUUUUAUUUUAUUUUUAAAUCUGAUUCGACCAUAACAGAGGGCAAAAGACAGAUCAAAGCAAGUUAAGUCGAAAAAUAUGAUGUAGAAAAACAUGAUAUACCUUUUAUGAAACAGAUCUGCAACUAGGUUCUAUCUGAUUUACCUUUCAGCGACGUUCUUUGGAAGAAGCGAUAUGAGUUGCAAUGAAAGAGCAAGUCAACUUUUGCAGUCGCUUCUAUCUGUAAUAAUGCAUGUGGAAGCUGAGUGAAGCAGGAUUUUGUGGCGUGUUGGAGAAAUUGAGUCAAUCCCAAGUAAGAGCUAUUGUGACACAAAGAACAUGUGUUUUAACUUGACAGGAAGGAUGACAGGUGAAAUCUGAUAGAAAAAAUCAGUGUCAUAGAAAUCAAAUGGUUUCUGGUUCUAAAGAUUUAAAGGACCUAAAUCUAAAGAAGAUGGAUAAGCUGGGUAUAGGGAAGCUCAGACGUGGAUACUCAAGGUUUAAUGUCUUCAUAGGAGGUCUCGUUUCAGUAUUUAUGUGUCUGCCUUUUGUAAGUUGUGGAAUUUCUGUCUACAAUAGAGGUGAGACUAAUGCAGUUGAGAAUGGUGAAGACAUGGUUGAUAGCAGGAGGCAUGAGUUCUGAUAUGGUCAAGCCAGAAAAAAUAUAUUGUUGUGUAUUGAGUUGAGUCUAAGGCUAUAAGAGUUUAACAGCUUGUCAUAAGUUGAUAUGACUUAGACAUUUCAGUGUCUGAUCACUUUGGUGGAUCAAUGCCAAAAGUGGAAGCUUCGUUCAGAUUAGAGUUAUUGUGAUCUUCUUGUACAAAGAACUAGUUUGAAGGACUGUGGUAUAAAAGUUUGUGUCCAGUCUCUGACAAAAUUUCAAGGAAUGAACCAUGUAUAUACAGUCAAAGUUUUAAGACUGAAAGAAGAUCCACGUAAAGAGAAGUGAAGCUGAGGUUAAAGUCGCGUGAGUGUGUCUCUUAAAUGGUUAUUGUUCCAGGUGGAGCAAUUGGUAUUACAAAGAGGGAAAUACAUUCAGAAUGGGUUUGUUUCCGAGGUGGAACUAUAUUUUCAGAAGGAGUCUUGCCUUCUCAGAACGUUGAACAUCAAAGGAGGAUCUGAUGGAGUUUAAGAGGCUGCAUAUGUUUGAGUAUGUGAAGUUUUGUCAGGGUUAUCUUGCAGUGGACUGAGCCUUGGCUGUCUGUCUUCGUGAUAUUGGGUGUCAUGCAGCAUGUACUGUUGGUAUAAACAGCGGUGCACAGAGGUUCAUGUUGGCUGUAUUAGAAGAAAAGUCAAAAGUUUUUUUCUUCUGGCCUGGAGUGAAGAUUGAUGAAGAAUCAGUAGGAGUUUUGCAAAAAUCAGAAUAUGAGGAAGUCUCUAAAUUUAAUGGAAGUAAGAUCAGUGAAACACAGAAGGCUGCAUAAAGUUGUCUAUUUGCAGCAGGAGGAAUUCAGCAGUAAUCUUCUCCGAAGAAAUACACUUACAGGUUGAUCAAGUGGUGGAAGCUCAAUGUAAAGGAUGCUAGACGAAAGAGUUGGUUCAAGUCUGCGAAAAAGCAGGAGGCAAAGAAGCAAAGAUUUUGGUUGAUUAUGCACACUGUUGAAUGUGUUGCAGGUCUGUUACAGUUGAAGACACACAUCAUGAGCUCGAGUUUGAUGUGCAAGAAUCUGUAGAGAAUAUCUCAGGAGCAUCACAUGUUCUGUUGAUGAGAUAUAUGGUUAAAACGUACAAGUGGUGAACUACAAGCUACUGGUACUGGUCUGUUUGCUCAGGGAAUUGGACAAGGAACUUAUAUCGAAGGUAUUCACAACUAGGUGGAGUUAUGAGGCGUGAUCUGUUGACAUCCAACAGCGGUACAAGUUGGUUUUAAGGCUUAGUUGGCUAGACAGAUGGAUGUAAUUACAAAAAUGCAUUGCUUACUAACCUAAAGGUUUUGUUGAGAUUGUUUUGCAGGUUUGAAUCGAAGAUUGGUUCAUGAUGGGAACAUGUAUGUUUCUGGUUUUUGCAUAUGAUUCAUGAGUAAUUUGAUUUUAAACUCAGUGCACGAGGUGAAUCAAAUGAGUCGACAAGAGGAAUCAGGUUUGCAUAGAUAUAAAGGCUAUAUAUAAUUGCUGAAACAGUUUUAUGGUGUUUGAUAGAAACCAUGAUGAAAUCUGUGUGAUUGUUGAACUCCUAAGUGCUAGCUUUUAGAGUUGUCUCUUGGUUUAACAAUUUCUAAAUUCAUUAGUCUUGUUAAUGAGAUAUUCUUGAAUGGUUUCUCAGGUAUAUCAAAGAUCGAUAGGGGAUCAAUGAAGAGUAUUAGCUUAACACCAGUUUGUGUGAAAGCUGGUUAUGAUACUCAAAGGGGCAUUAGAAUGCCAAGAGUCUUCUAGAAGCAGUGUGGUUUACACAGCUGAAGUAUCCUUAGCAUUAUGUCUGGUUCAUUGAUUAUUAAUCAGGUUUAAGAUGAUUAAGUUUGUUUAACUGGUUGCUGUACAUAAGGUUUCUUAUGCAGGUCACUGGAGAUGGAUAUUUACCAAGUUUGGAGCUGGAACUUCACAGUUAGUUCACAGUGAAAAAGAGAGAUGUGAGAGACGGCAUUCGCUUAAGUAUUUUGGGUUCUCGUGGGUUUUUAUUCUCUUAAUUCUUCUUGUAAGGUUGAUUGGAUUGUAACCAACGGUGAUUGAUCUCCGUGUACAGCCACGCUGCGGUCGAUCAGAUUGAAAAGGUCAACUCGUUUGUGUUCUUUGAUAGAAGCUAAGCCAUGGAUUCUUGAAGUCAUGGAUUCUUGAAGUGAUCGGAUUCUUUGAAGCUCUUGUGUUCUUCUUGUAAGGUUGAUCGGAUUGUAACCAACGGUGAUUGAGCUCCGUGUACAGCCACCGCGGUCGAUCAGAUUAAAAAGGUCAACUCGUUUGUGUUCUUUGAUAGAAGCUAAGACAUGGAUUCUUGAAGUCAUGGAUUCUUGAAGUCAUGGAUUCUUGAAGUGAUCGGAUUCUUUCAAACUCUUGUGUUCUUCUUGUAAGGUUGAUCGGAUUGUAACCAACGGUGAUUGAGCUCCGUGUACAGCCACGCCACGGUCGAUCAGAUUAAAAAGGUCAACUCGUUUGUGUUCUUUGAUAGAAGCUAAGACAUGGAUUCUUGAAAGUCAUGGAUUCUUGAAGUGAUCGGAUUCUUUGAAGCUCUUGUGUUCUUCUUGUAAGGUUGAUCAGAUUGUAACCAACGGUGAUUGAGCUCCAUGUACAGCCACGCUGCGGUCGAUCAGAUUAAAAAGGUCAACUCGUUUGUGUUCUUUGAUAGAAGCUAAGUCAUUGAUUCUUGAAGUCAUGGAUUCUUGAAGUGAUCGGAUUCUUUGAAGCUCUUGUGUUCUUCUUGUAAGGUUGAUCGGAUUGUAACCAACGGUGAUUGAGCUCCGUGUAAAGCCACACCACGGUCGAUCAGAUUAAAAAGGUCAACUCGUUUGUGUUCUUUGAUAGAAGCUAAGUCAUGGAUUCUUGAAGUCAUGGAUUCUUGAAGUGAUCGGAAUCUUUGAAAGCUGGUUAUGAUACUCAAAUGGGCAUUAGAACGCUAAGAGUCUUCUAGAAGCAGUGUGGUUUACACAGCUGAAGUACCCUUAGCAUUAUGUCUGGUUCAUUGAUUAUUAAUUAGGUUUAAGAUGACUAAAUUUGUUUAAGUGGUUGUUGUGCAUAAGGUUUCUUAUGCAGGUCACUGGAGAUGGAUAUUUGCCAAGUUUGGAGCUGGAACUUCACAGUUCUAAGGGCAGUUCACGGUGAAAGAGAGGGAUGUGAGGGACAACAUUAGCUUAUGGGGCUGUUUUUUUUACCAUUUGUCAUCUCCAUCCAAAUGAUUCAUUUGUAUGAUCUAUUCAGAUGAUCCAUUCUCAUUUUUGUGAUUGUUUGUUUGUCCAUCCACAUGACUCAUCUAGAUGAAUCAUCUAAAUGGAUUUUAUGUUUGUUUCUUUAUUUUCAUUUCCAUUCAAAUGAGUUUAGUAAACAAAUUACCAAAAUACCCUUGUGUUGGUUUAAUCAUAUGUUUGAUAUUAAUUUUAACUAUAUUACAUUAAUUAUUUAGUUUAAUAUUUACAUUAGAAUUAUUUCAAAAUUAACGAAUUUUCUUUUUGCGGUUUGGGCGAGAAAAAAAAAAUUUUUUUGGUUUCAGCGACAAAACAAGAUUUUUCGGUUCUGGCGGGAAAACAAGAUUUUUCGGUUCUGGCGGGAAAACAAGAUUUUUCGGUUUUGGCGGGAAAAUACAAAUUUUCGGUUUUGGCGAGAAAACACGUUUUUGCAGUUUUGGCGGAAAAAGACGUUUUUGGCGGAAAAACGCGUUUUUGGCGGAAAAACACAUUUUUGCGGUUUUGGAGGGAAACCCAUUAAAAUGAAAUUUUUCGGUUUUGGCGAGAAAACGAGAUUUUUUGUUAUUGGCGGGAAAACGUGUUUUGCGGUUUUGGCAGGAAAACACAUUUUUGGCGGGAAAAUGCAUUUUUGUUGUUUUGGCGGGAAAAUGCAUUUUGCGGUUUUGGCGGGAAAAUGCGUUUUUGGUGGGAAAAUGUGUUUUUGUUGUUUUGGCGGAAAUACACGUUUUUGCGGUUUUGGCGGGAAAACAUGUUUUGCGGUUUUUACGGGAAAACGCGUUUUUGCGGUUUUGACGGGAAAACACAUUUUUGCGGUUUUGGCGGAAAAACACGUUUUGGCGGGAAAACGCGUUUUUGCGAUUUUGGCGGGAAAACGCGUUUUUGUGGUUUUUUCAGAAAAACAAGAUUUUUUGGUAUUGGCGAGAAAAUGAGAUAUUUCGGUUUUGGCGGGAAAAUACGUUUUUGCAAUUUUGGCGGGAAAAUGUGUUUUUGUGUUUUGGCGAAAAAAUGUGUGCUUGGGGUGUUAACGUGAAAACAUGUUUUUUUUUGUGAUUUUGGCAUGAAAACACGUUUUUCGGUUUUUGCGGAAAAAUACGUUUUUGCAAUUUUAACGGAAAAACACAUUUUUGCAAUUUUGGCGAAAAAUUGCGUUUUUGGGGGUUUUGGCGUGAAAAAUAGUUUUUAGGUUUUCGCGAGAAAAAGUGUUUUUGUAGUUUUGUCAGUUUUCGUAUGUGACAAAAAUGAUAUUAUUUUUAGGUUUGUAAUUUGUGAAUUACAUUAGGGGCAUAAUAGAUAUUAUACCAUUUUGAAUGAACCAUCUCUAUUCAAAUGAUCCAAAUUAGUUCCGCUGAAUGGACUUUAAAAUUAAGCCUAAAUUUCCAAAAGUCAUCCGGAUGAUCCAUCUGAAUGAGUUGUACUUUUAGUGUCUAAACAAAUAAAACUUUCAUCUUCAUCCAAAUGAUUCAUCCAGAUGGAGAAACAAACAGGCCCUAUGUAUCUUGGGGUCUCUUGGGUUUCUAUUCUCUUAUAUUCUUCUUGUAAGGUUGAUCGGAUUGUAACCAACAGUGAGUGAGCUCCGUGUACAACCACGCCGCGGUUGAUCAGAUUAAAAAGUUCAACUCAUUUGUGUUCUUUGAUAGAAGCUAAGUCAUGGAUUCUUGAAGUUAUCGAUGGUGAUUAGAAGGGUUUGAUUUUCAACAUAAGCAAACUAGUAAUAAGAUGAGUAAAUGCGUCAACUUCGUGAAACAAGAUUUCUAAUAAUCCAAAUAUGUUUUUUUUUUUUAUCUGAUUCGACCACAACAGAGUGCAAAAGACGGAUCAAAGCAAGUUAAGCAGAAAAAAUAUGAUAUAGAAAAACAUGACAUACCUUUUAUGAAACAGAUCUGCAACUCGGUUCUAUCUGAUUCACCUUUCAGCGACGUUCUUUGGAAGAAGAGAUAUGAGUUGCAACGAAAGAGCAAGUCAACUUUUGCAGUCGCUUCUAUCUGUAAUAAUGCAUUUGCUUUAGGCUAAGAAUGGUAGGUGGGAAAACUAGUGGGCGUUACACAAGGGGUGGGGCAUCCACCUUCUAUUACCACUCACAUAUCAACUAUGCAAUUUUAAAAUAAGAUAGAACCAUACACAAGCAGACAAGCAGUAAAAAUUAGUGGAUUAUACACCCAAACAGUAAAUAAACGCCUUUUACCUGUGAAAGAAGGGUAGCAUACACUCUGUGCCUUUUUCUUUUCUUUUUUUUUUCAAAAAAUAUUAGAUAAUGUAAAAUAUUAUUAAAGUAAAAAAAAAAUUUACAAUACAUUAUUCAUGAAACAUAACUCUCUUUGCCUUUCCGCAAAAUCAUUUAUCAACUUCGAAUAAUCAAGUUUUUCUGCUAAUUCAUGCUCUAUUAUAUCAUCGACAAUCCAUUCAAACGGUCUUGAGACAUAAUCGAACGUAGACAAUUCGUCUAACAUACUUAAGCAUAUCAUUAGCUCGAAUUUCGUCACUUCAUCUUGUCUGGCUUUUUUUUCCUAUUUUGAAAUCGACUUGGUUGAUUUCUUAUUCUAUUUCAUGGAAGCAUUCUCUACAGACAACAAUUCAAAAACAUUAAAAACAUAAUUUAGAUAAAAUACACCAAUACAUUACAUAUGCUAGAACAUAAAACAAGUAAAUAACAAUCAUAAUUUAAGAAAAUUUCAGAUUUUCUUACAAAUUUUUUUUUUUAAAAAGAAAUAAAAGAAUAGGAAAAACUCACAUAGAUUCAGAGAAUGUGGAGUAUAAUGAUCUGCAUAGAAGAAUAAACAAGAAGGUUGAAAAAGGAGAAGAUGGAACGUCAAUUGUAAGAGUAAAUAAAAUAGGUAGUUAUUGUAAUUUAUGUAUUUUAUCAUUGAAUAUAAUACUAGGUUAAGACCCACACCUUGCGCGGGAUGAACAUUAUAUAUAUAAAUUAUUUUAUAUAUUAUAUAUUUAUAAUAUAUUAUGAAAUAAUAAAUAUAUAUUGAAUAAUUAAAAAUUCAUUAUCUACUACUUAUAUAAUUAAAUUGGUGCGAAUAUAUAAAUAAGUUUUAUAAAUCAAAAAAUAUUUUUUCUAUUUGAUAUGAUUAUAAUUAAAUUUAUAUGAUAGUAACAUAUAUAUGGUAUAUUUUAACAUUAAUAUUUAUUAGAUCAUGCUUUUUGCUCAUAUUUUUUUAUCAUUUGCAUCUAUUAUAGCAAAAAAUCUAAAUUAGUGAUAACAAAAUUUUCAGUGUGGAAUUAAAUUUUUAAGCAAUUUAUAAUAUUUUAAAAAAAUAAGUUAUCAAUAUUUUUUUCAAAAUUUUUAUCAAAAAAUGUUCAAAGAAAAUUUCAAAAUUAAGAUAUUUAUGUAUUUUUAUAUGACAUAUAGUUUAAUUUAAUGAUACAUAUAUUUAUAUAUCUUUUAUUUUUGAUACUUAUUAAAUAAGACUUUCAACUUAUAUUAUUUUUGGGGGAAUUUUACUUAUACACUUUUUAUGAUACCACUUUUCAACUUUACCAUCAAUCGAAAGGCAUUUUCAAAAAUACCACAUUCAUUAAUGUGUAAAAGACAAUAUUGCCCUUAACUUAUCUUCAACUCAUUUCUCUCUCUCUCGUGAAUCUCCGUUCGUCGUCUAUCGUCUCUGUUCAGAUCCGCUGUUUUCCGUUCAGAUCCGCCGUCUCCGUUCAGAUUCGCCGUCUCUGUCCUCCAGAUCCGCCGUCUCUGUCCUGAACCGACGUCUUCGUCCAGAUUCGUCGUCUUCGUCCAGAUCCACGAAGCAAUCGAGAUCGAGACUCAAAACUUCAAAUGUUGAAUCCUCAGCAAGAAUCACAACCUGUAAGUAUUUUUUCGGAUUUUGUUGUUUUGAUCUAAGAGAAAGAGUUAUCUAUUAAUAGUCUGAUCUAAGAGAAAGAUUUCUAAUAGUGAACAUUGAGUUUUUGAAAAUUUAUAACUCUUUAUAAAUCGAAGUUAUUUAGUAAUGUAAUUGACAUGUUCAGUUCCCGACACUCAUAAAAGAAGCAUAUGUUCAAGCUUAUAUGAGAUCCACAACUCUGCCAUCACACAUUUUCUUUGAUCUACAAUGUUAAUCAUCAAAUUCAUCAUUGUCUCUUGUUUUUUUUUCUAAAGUCUUAUUGAGCAACCAUUGACAUUUUUAGUUUCUUCUUGUGUCUGAGAUUGCAGAGUCUGUUUCUUUUAGCAGCGAUAAAAAGUAUGAUAUAACGCAAGUGAAGGCUCCACCUCAGCUGCAGAAAAAGAUGUGUUAAGUAACUCAAUCAACUAAAAGACAAUUUAGAAAGGCUUAUAAGACAGUUUAUAAAGUUUGUUAAAUAAUUUAUAAGGUUUAUAAAUUCUGCACAAUUUUGAAGUUAACUACGAGGUAUUGUGAUACUUCAACAGAGCUACCAGACAAGCCAAAACUGAUCAUCCAACGUUCAAAUAUGAAUUAUGUUGAAAAUGAUUUUUUGUAUUUUAGGUAAGGAGGAAUUUAGUGAAAUUGAGAAUUCACACCUUGCGGAAGUGUUGUAGAACUAGCUAGAAAGAAUAACAUUCAAUUUUCAGGAAAACCUUAUGCAAAUAAGAUUAUUGAUGAAUGGGGGUAGAUCUAUGGUUCACUUUCUCAUAUCAACCAAUGGGGUUAGAUCUAUGAUUAUUGAUGAAUGUAAAUAAUUUAUAAAAGCUUAUAAAAAACGUUAUGAAAGCAUACAUUCAAUUUAUAAGGGUAUUAUAUGAGUUCCAUAGGUUUAUAAAUCAACUAAAAGAGUCUAUAACAAUUUAGAAAGCCUUAUAAAACAAUUUAUAAUGGUUUGUAUAAUAAUUUAUAAGGGUUUAUAAGGGUACGUAAAUAAUGUAUAUGGGUUUAUAAAAAUAAUUUAUUAAGUUUAUACACCAUUAUAAAUAUUAUAAAAUGAUUUAUAUGGGAAUUUAAAAUUUCUGAAGCGGUGGAGUCUUGAUUGCUGUCCACAUGUACCUCAGAAUCUGCCAUGUAUCAUCAUCUCUUUACAAAGCCUUAUAAGGAUAUGUAAAAUUAUUUGUAGGAGUUUAUAAACUAUUAAUAAAUGCAUAUAAAACAAGUUAUAAAAUCUAUAAACCAUUUAUAAAUGUUUAUAAGAAAGUUAUGAAAGUUUAUAAACAAUAUAUAAGGGGCAUGUAUACUAUUAAUAAGAGUUUAUAAAAACUGUAUGAAAGAUUAUAUUCAAUUUAUAAGAGGUAUUAUAAGAGUUGUAUAGGUUUAUAAAUCAACUAAAAGAGUCUAAAACCAUUUAGAAAGCCUUAUAAAACAAUUUAUAAUGGUUUGUAUAAUAAUUUAUAAGGGUUUAUAAGGGUAUGUAAAUAAUGUAUACGGGUUUAUAAAAAUAAUUUAUUAAGUUUAUACACCAUUAUAAAAUAUUAUAAAAUGAUUUAUAAGGGAAUUUAAAAUUUUUGAAGCGGUGGAGUCUUGAUUGCUGUCCACAUGUACCUCAGAAUCUGCCACGUAUCAUCAUCUCCUUACAAAUCCUUAUAAGGAUAUGUAAAAUUAUUUGUAAGAGUUUAUAAACUAUUAAUAAAUGCAUAUAAAACAAGUUAUAAAAUCUAUAAACCAUUUAUAAAUGUUUAUAAGAAAGUAUGAAAGUUUAUAAACAAUUUAUAAGGGGCAUGUAUACUAUUAAUAAGAGUUUAUAAAAACUGUAUGAAAGAUUAUAUUCAAUUUAUAAGAGGUAUUAUAAGAGUUGUAUAGGUUUAUAAAUCAACUAAAAGAGUCUAAAACCAUUUAGAAAGCCUUAUAAAACAAUUUAUAAUGGUUUGUAUAAUAAUUUAUAAGGGUUUAUAAGGGUAUGUAAAUAAUGUAUACGGGUUUAUAAAAAUAAUUUAUUAAGUUUAUACACCAUUAUAAAAUAUUAUAAAAUGAUUUAUAAGGGAAUUUAAAAUUUCUGAAGCGGUGGAGUCUUGAUUGCUGUCCACAUGUACCUCAGAAUCUGCCACGUAUCAUCAUCUCCUUACAAAUCCUUAUAAGGAUAUGUAAAAUUAUUUGUAAGAGUUUAUAAACCAUUAAUAAAUGCAUAUAAAACAAGUUAUAAAAUCUAUAAACCAUUUAUAAAUGUUUAUAAGAAAGUUAUGAAAGUUUAUAAAUAAUUUAUAAGGGGUAUGUAUACUAUUAGUAAGAGUUUAUAAAAACUUUAUGAAAGAUUAUAUUCAAUUUAUAAGGGGUAUUAUAAGAGUUGUAUAGGUUUAUAAAUCAACUAAAAGAGUCUAUAACCGUUUAGAAAGCCUUAUAAAAUAAUUUAUAAUGGUUUGUAUAAUAAUGUAUACGGGUUUAUAAAAAUAAUUUAUAAAGUUUAUACACCAUUAUAAAGGAUUAUAAUAAAACAAUUUAUAAGGAUAUGUAAAAUUUCUGAAGCGGUGGAGCCGUGCUUGCUGUCCACAUGUGCCUUAGAAUCUGUCACGUAUCAUCAUCUCUUUACAAAGCCUUAUAAGGGUAUGUAAAAUUAUUUGUAAGAGUAUAUAAACCAUUAAUAAAGACAUAUAAAAAAAGUUAUAAGAUCUAUAAAUCAUUUAUAAAUGUUUAUAAGAAAGUUAUGAAAGUUUAUAAAUAAUUUAUAAGAGGUAUGUAUACUAUUAAUAAGGGUUUAUAAAAACUUUAUGAAAGCCUUAAAACAAUUUAUAAUGGUUUGUAUAAUAAUAUAUAAGGGUUUACAAGAGUAUGUAAAUAUUUUAUAAGGAUUUAUAAAAAUAAUUUAUAAAGUUUAUACACCAUAAUAAAGGAUUAUAAAAUAAUUUAUAAAAGUAUGUAAAAUUUAUGAAGCAGUGGAGUCUUGCUUGCUGUCCUCAUGUGCCUCACAAUCUGCCACGUAUCAUCAUCUCUUUACAAAAGUAUAUAACUAUUUAUACAGGUUUAUAAAACUAUUUAAAAGGGUGUAUUAAACUAUUUACAAGAACAUAUAAGCUAUUUAUAAGUCUAUUGUUAAAAGUACAACUCGACGAUUUAUAAAUUCUUAUUAAGAAGUUUUUAAACAAGAGUUGAUUGUAUAUGUCUAUACAAAACACAUAAAUGUUUGAACUUGAGAAGUCUUGUGAGGAAUGCUAGGCAGAAUGAGUGUAAGAAACUCAAAGUGAUUUAUAAGCGUUUAUAAAUUUAUUUACAAUGGUUUAUAAGGUAAUUUUUUUAAAAUCCCUCCAAAAGACAAUCAACACAAAAAAACAUAUCUGGUGAAAGAGCCACGUCCUUCAACAAGGGAUAUAUUGCUUUAACAUAGUCUGAGAACAUCAAGGCUUCUCCAUAUCUCACUCUUCUAUAAAAGAAACAAUUGAAACCAAACUCACUUACAUGUCCAACUAAUAUCUUCAAUUAUGCAACUACUAAAAGAGAGAUACAAUUGUUUUAGUAUAAGAGAUGUCUAAAUAAGAUGAGAGAGAAGAAUGUACUAAGAAGCCAACUCUGCAACUUUUAUAAAGCGUUAUAAAUACGUAAUUCUUUGAUAGUACAAACCACAUUCUUCUUCAGAGUCUCUCUUGCCUCUUCAAAUAGCUCACCAACCUCGUAAAUUUUCAAAAUCUGAACAAAAGCCAGUCACAUAUUAUUUCUACGCAUCAGCAUUCACUUCCAAAAAUAAGAUUCAAAAAUAGUAUACUUUCGUAACUCAACAAACUCAUCAUUCAUCUUCACUGCUUCUGUAGAUAUUAUACACAAAACAAGACAUAAAAAAUAAACUCAUAAAGUAUAAAUAGAACGUUACACUACCAAAACACCAACGUUCCACCUCAUAUACUGCACAUACUAAAACAUUGCUAGUCAAACUACAAAUAGUAGCAUUGUAUUACCUUAAGGAAGUGAGAUACUUAGAUAUGCAUAUCACCACACAUAUUCUCCACAACAUCCUUUAAAUCCAAAAGCUGACAACACACAUUUGUAAUUCUCUACAACAUCACCAAAUCAACCAAGAAAAGAAGUAAUCAUAGAAUAAUUAUACUCUUAGGUUAGUACCUUCUCAUGAAUUAAAUAAUUAUAUAAAUCUGAAAACUAUGACAAUAAAUCAACCAAAUCAAUAAUUGUACUCUUACGUUAAGCUUUGUGUCUUUUGAUUGCUAACAGAUCAACAGUAAGAUUUGAAAGGAUCCAAUUUAUAAGAUCUUAUAAAUUUGAGAUCUGAAAACUUCACUUGAAAAACUUCGUCUUCUUUCUUAGAAACAUAUCGAUUUUGAUAAAUCAAGCUAAAAUUACAGAAAGAGGCAAAAAUCACCAUAUACUAUCAUCUUACCUUUGUUAGUGUUUCUUAGGCGUUGGGAGAGAGAUCGUCUCGUUCGUCUGAGCUUGCCGAGUCUGUCAGCUUUGCCGGAGAACUUCUCGGCAUGCGAUUCGUGACGAACGUGACCGAUUUAGCAUCGGAGGAUUACUACGACUACAUAAUGCCGGCAGAGGAACGGCGGGAUGUCCACUCGCCGCCACGCUCUCCCAAUCCGGUCGAGUUCGUCGGAGAUCGUCGAGUUCGCCGGAGAUCGCCAAGUUCGCCGAAGAUCGCCGAAUUCGCCGGAGAUCGCCGAGUUUGCCGGAGAUCUCGUUGGAGCUCGUCUCAAUUUGAUCUCAUUUUCAUCUCGUGACAGACAUUUGGAGAAGAAUAGAUCUAGGUUAAAUUAAUGAAAUGAGGGGUAUAAUGGUACUUUAGCCAUUAAAAUUUUAAUGGUAAAUUUGAAAAGUGUAAAGUUGAAAAGUGGUAUUAGGAAAGUGGUAUUAGUGGCAAUUCCCCAUUAUUUUUUUAAUUAUUUGUAUCAUGUCAUAACAAAAAUUUUAAAUCAUAGAUUACAAAAUUUGAAUGUGAAACUUUUAACAGUUUUAGUAAUUUAUACUCGUUUUUAAAAAUUCAAAAUAAAAUAUAUAAAUAUUUUUUUUAAUUUUUAUUAUAUGGUUACUAUGAUUGUUUAAUUUAUUUUAAUAGCUUAAAAUUAAACAAAUAUAAUUAUAAUACACACUUAUUUUUAUCAAAUCUUUAUUAUUCAAAAUCAUUAAUUGUCAUAUAUACUUUAGCCACAUUCGGCAAUUUCGUAAUCUUAUUUAAGGAAAUAAUGAAAACAUUAAUAAUAUAUUUAUUGUGGUUUAAUAAAAAGAUUAUUAUAUAUUUAGAUGGACCAACUUAUUUCUCUAAGGAUUCUAAGAAUCAUUCUAGUGAUGACACGUGGCUACAAAAAAAUGUUGCAAUGCUUCUCAAAUAAUAUAUAGGGGAUAUAAGGAAAUUUAAAAAUUUAGAAAAGGUAAUCAAUCAUUACGAUCAAAUCAUUCAGUUAUUAUUAGGGGUGGGCAAAAUAUCCAUAAUUUUGAUUUGAUUCGUUAUGUAUAUAUAUAUAUAUAUACAUAUACUUAAAGAAGUAUAUAUAUAUAUAUAUAUAUAUAUAUAAGCUGUAUCAAUUUUUUCUUUAUUUUUAAAAUUUUUAUUUUAUUUUUACGGAUCAAAUCAGAUAUCUCGUAAAAAUCUAAAAAAAUUUCGGAUAUCCGGAACAGCGAAUAUCUGGAAGGCUAUUCGUGCCCACCCCUAGUUAUAUUUGGCUGGAAGCAUAUUUGAACCCAUGCCUAGAGGAGCAAGAAAAAGUACAUAGCCAACAUACCAAAGAAACUUCACUGAACAUUAUGCCCAUAAUUUUUAAUAAAUCUUGGUGCUCCAAGCCUUUGUUUUAUGGGCUUUAGUCCAGGGCUAGGCCUAGCUUUACUCUCACCAAGCGCCAUGGCGAGGCAAGUCGAUCAGCCAUGUGUAACUCACAUGCAAAACCGUAAUUAUCCAUUUUCAACUUUUAAGUCAUGUUAAGCCAUAUAUAAAAACAGUAAACAGAAUCAUAAAACCAAUUCCAUUUUUGUUGGCUAUAACAAGAACUAGACUAGUCGAAGAUCACAUAAUUUUUGUAUGCUUCGGUUUGUUGAUAGAUUAUAUCAGACGGCACAGCUACUCUAUUAAACCAAGGCCGGUUGAGUAACCAAAAUUUGCACAAACCAUGCAGAUAAAUCAUCGAAGCCGCGCUUUGCGCGCCUUAAAGCAUCUCCAAAAAGAUUCUUUAUUUUAUAAUUUGCAAAACUCUAUAUUUAAAUUUUGGAAGUCCCGGAGCAAAUUUAUUAAACGAUUAGUGUUGUUGUAAUAUUUAAAUUUGUGUAAUAAUUAUUUCUUCAUGUAUCUUUUUAAAAAAAUUAUUAAGUUUUUUUUGGAAUAAUCUUGUUGUAUAGUUCUAGUUUUACAAUAUUAUAAAUCUUAUUUUAUUUUCUGUGUAAAAUCUGAAUUUAUAAAAACAAAUUUUAAAUAUCUAUGAUAUACAAAAGUUUUAAUGAUUAAGACGAUAAAUGAGAAAAUACUUAAAAAUCAUAAAUAUGAUAUGUAAUUAAUUAUAAAGACAAAAAUGCAAAUAAAAAGAUGAAACUUUAAAUUUGGAGUUUUUAGGAGUGAAACUUCAAAUAUGAAGUUUUAAUCCUUAAAAUUUCAAAUUUGAAGUUUUGAAGUUCUUUUUUGGUUUUGAAGUUCUUUUUUGGAGAACAAAAAACUUUGUAUUUGAAGUUAUAAAAUUUCUUUUGGAGAUACUCUUACGUGAUACUAGUUUAGCACUCAAUGGCGAGCACUUUCUGUACCUCGCCUGGCCUUGGGGUCUUGAGGCGAUGAGGACAUAGCUAGAUGUCUCCAAGCGCCAUAGCGGUCAAAUCGAUCACCAUUUAAAACCAAACUUAAAACACCUUAAAAUAUAUUUUUUUUUAUUAAAAGAACACAAAAAAAAAAUGACCAAAAUAAAUUUCAUUAAAAAGGUAAAAAAAAAAACUUUUACCUUUAUUUUAUAGAUAUUUAAAUAUACAUAUAAUUUUAUAAAUAAAAAAUAUUGUUAUUUUCAAAUAAUAUGUUUUUAAAUUUGAAUUUUUUUAUCUUUAUUUUGGAAUAUUAAAAAAAAAAUUGAAAUCCAAAAAUUCUUUUUAAAACUAUUUUAAAUUUUUAUUUUUUUAUUUUUUUAAAAAAAAUCCUAAAUCCCAUCUCUUCAAACCUUCACCUUUCAAAUCUAAACUAUAAUUUUAUAUUAGCUAACUAUAUAUUUCAAAAAAUAAAAUUGUAUCUAAAUAUAUUUACAUUUUUAAUGAAACAUUUUGGUCAUUUUGAUCUUUAUGAACUAUAUUUAUGAUAAAAACUUUUUAGGAUCGAUAGACAGUUCUGCAUAUACGUCAUACUCGAUGAAGAUGAACUCCGCAACCCACGUUCAUUAGCUCUGCUUUCAGCAUUCUGAAAUUUACAAUAGGCUUACAUCCAAUAAUCUACAAGAAAUUGAAAUCGAACCUUGGUGUAAAAGCCUAUGGUUCCGCAAAUUUAGUUUUCUUUAUUAACCAAGAUAGCUUUAACUAUGUGAAAUCUGAAUAUUAGGUUUUAACACAGAUUAUUAUCGUGAUGAGCUCAAUCUGUCUAUAGGGAUGUUUAGCACCAAGUUUACGUUGUAGUGAAUAUUCGGAACCAAGUUUACAUUGUAGGAUUCUCAAAUGUAAACUUGAAGGAAUAAUAGUUCAGUUUAUAGAAUUACUACUGAUUUAAAGCUUUUGAAAAUUGUUAAUCAAAUUUUAUUUAUGUAUAAAUAGGUCCAAAACUUAUUAAUUUGAGAAGAGUAUAUUUUGAAUGAUUUGAGUUUAUAAAAAAGAAUGAAAAAACAGAAUUGGACAGUUAACACUAUCCUGUUACAAGCCACACGAUCCUUUCUUCCUUCCUUAGACGAAGAACUCGCGAGUCACCACCAUGAACCCAACGCAGACGCUUUACCCCUCCGGCGGUAACUCGCCGUCACCUCAUUCAACGCACCCGUCAUCCCUCUUCCCUCAAAUCAACAGAUGCCGAACCAUGCGCGACCUCUCCCAAAUCCACGCCACAUUCGUCAAAUCCGGCCAAAUGCGAGACACUCUCGCCGCCGCGGAGCUCCUCCGCUUCUGCGCCACCACCUCCGAUCUCCUCCACCGCGACCUCGAUUACGCGCACAAGAUCUUCACCCAGAUGCCUCACCGCAACACCUUCUCCUGGAACACUAUUAUCCGAGGCUUCAGCGAGAGCGAAGAGCAAAACGCAAUCAUCGCGAUCGCACUCUUCCACGAGAUGAUGAAAGACUCGGUCGAACCGAACCGGUUUACCUUCCCGUCACUCCUCAAGGCCUGCGCGAAAACCGGGAGGAUCGAAGAAGGCAAGCAGAUCCACGCGCUGGCGUUGAAGCUAGGGCUUAGCGGCGACGAGUUCGUGAUGAGCAAUCUCGUGAGGAUGUAUGUGAUGUGCGGUUUGAUGAGAGACGCGUGCGUGUUGUUUUAUAAAAACAUUAUAGGGAGAGAUAUGGCUGUGAAUAUGAUGGUUGAUGGUGGUAGAAAGAGAGACGGUGAGGUUGUUAUAUGGAAUGUGAUGAUUGACGGUUACAUGAGGCUUGGUGAUUGUAAAGCUGCGCGGACGUUGUUCGAUCAAAUGCGUGUGAGAAGCGUUGUUUCUUGGAACACUAUGAUCUCUGGCUAUUGCAAGAACGGGUGCUUCAAGGAGGCUGUGGAGAUUUUCUGUGAGAUGAGGAGAGUUGAUUUGCGUCUUAGUUAUGUCACUUUGGUUAGUGUUUUGCCUGCGGUUUCUCGGAUAGGGUCGUUGGAGUUGGGAGAGUGGUUGCAUUCUUAUGCGGAGAGUAAUAGAGUGGAGGUUGAUGAUGUGCUUGGCUCUGCUUUGAUUGAUAUGUACUCCAAAUGCGGAGUUGUGGAGAGAGCGGUUGAGGUGUUUGAGAGGUUACCGAGGAAGAAUGUGAUUACUUGGAGUGCUAUGAUUAACGGGUUUGCUAUACACGGCCUAGCGGGUGAUGCUAUUGACUGUUUUUGUAGAAUGAGGGAGGCUGGAGUUAAGCCUAGCGAUGUUGCGUACAUCAAUCUCUUGACGGCUUGUAGCCAUGCUGGGUUGGUAGAAGAAGGGAGAAAGUAUUUUAGUCAGAUGGUGAAUGUGGAUGGUUUAGAUCCUAGGAUUGAACACUACGGGUGUAUGGUUGAUCUAUUGGGACGCUCGGGUCUUCUCGAAGAGGCUGAGCAGUUUAUACACAACAUGCCCGUGAAACCAGAUGACGUGAUAUGGAAAGCUCUUUUGGGUGCUUGCAGAAUGCACGGGAACGUGGAGAUGGGGAAACGUGUGGCUAAUAUUCUGAUGGAUAUGGUUCCUCAGGACAGUGGAGCUUAUGUGGCUCUCUCAAACAUGUACGCUUCUCAAGGAAACUGGUCGGAGGUUUCGGAGAUGAGGCUGAGGAUGAAGGAGAUGGAUAUAAGAAAAGACCCCGGGUGUAGCUGGAUCGAUGUUGAUGGUGUGCUUCAUGAGUUUCUUGUGGAAGAUGAUUCUCACCCGAGAGCCAAAGACAUUAACUCGAAGCUUGCGGAAAUCUCAGAGAAACUGAGACUGGCUGGGUAUAGACCCAUCACUACGCAGGUUUUGCUGAACUUGGAGGAAGAGGAUAAAGAAAACGCGCUUCAUUACCAUAGCGAGAAGAUCGCUGUUGCGUUUGGGUUGAUAAGCACAACACCUGGUAAACCAAUACGCAUUGUUAAGAACCUGCGUAUCUCCAAGUCAGAAUAUACAAAUCAACAAAGCACUCACAAGGGAAACAUUGAAGAAAAUAUGGUUACACAUACAAAAAGUAUUUCAAACUUAGCAUUACAGAGAGUGAGCAAUAGAUCACAACAACAACAAAAACAACGACUUCAUACAAUCAAGAGUGGGUACUUGAUUCUGAGUAAGUUCACCUGAAAACCGAAUAAUAAAAAGUUUAGAUGAGACUUUCACACUAAACUUCAAGGAGGAUAAAUAGCCAACAAAAAUGAACAAUAUGUACAAUAUACCAAAUAUAUAUAUAUAUACCUGAGACGUUUUAUUCUCCUUAUUCGUCGCUGGCACGCAACAAAAACGCCUUAUAUUCCAUCAGAAUAUCAUCAACAGUGCGUACUGAUUCACCUGAAAACCGAAUAAUAAAAAUGUUAGAUAUUUGAGACCAUGUACUACGAGUCUGCGACAUCUACGACUUUGAGCAAUGACAUUAGAACUGGAAGUAGAGGCUUUGAAGAAUUAAAGAAAGUUCUCCUUUUUUGGCUUCAUGUAAGCAUACUUCUCUCAUCAUGUCAUGCAUUUGACAAGAAUCCCAUCUCCAACUCAAACUAUCUUUUUCAGCAAUAACCAUAUUUCUCCUUAUUAACUCUUCCAAGUAUUCUUCUCCACUCUCUCGAAUGGUUGGUCCAUCGCAACUUGACGUUAUUAUUCCUUCUGCUGCCCAGAAAUAACACAAUUUAUUCACUUGUAUCUUGUAAUCUUCAGGUAAAUAAGCUAGGCAAAGGAAGCAAUGCUUUAACUCCAUUGACAAAUCUGAUACGUAGGAGGGGAUGAGGUGGCAUUCACGUGAGCAAUGCACGUGAGCACAUAACAUUUCACAUGGGAAGGAUGCUGAGCUGGCUGCUCUCCAACUUGCUGCUUACUCUUUCUAUUUAAGCUGUAGUUUGCUAGAGAGAAAGGUUAUCUAGAGUUUGAGUGAAUAAUCAGAGAGAGAUGUAGAGAGAUCUUCGAGAGAAGGAUUUGUAAUCGGUUUCUCUUGUAAAAUCACUAUUUCUCUCAAUACAAUCAGUAUUUCAUCUUUAGAUCAUUGUUUUCACAUCUACUCGUAACAAAAUCUUCAUAGCUCAGGGACAAAACUCGGCAAACUGAAUCUUUUUUGUUGUCAUCUAACUGAAUGAUCUGAGUUUGAAUAUUUUUUAUAUACUCGUUCCCACUCGUCAACCAUUUUUUUAGCUAACAAGCCUCCCAGCACUUUAACAGCUAACAGUAGUCCUCCACAAUAUGUAACCAUUUUCUUACCCAUAUCUUCUAGCUCUUUAUCAACACCAAAUUCUGCGAAACAAUAGCAUAUAUUAUAAGACAAUGGCCAUGAACAAUAUGUCUACCCUAGAAGAUAAAUUAGUGAAUUACUCCACAAGAUUUUUGAUUAUAGGAGGUAAGAGAUAUCACAUUCAGUGUCUUAAUUAACAAACGUACCAGUUUUGUCUCUUCUAGAUAAUGCUAUCCCCUCACAUAGCUUCCAAGUUCCAACUUUCCUCGGGAUUAAGGAUUUUUGGUGUAAAGGCAAAACAUGUUGGGUCUGCAUGUAAACCAACACCUUCAUCGCGAGAAGUAAGAAUCACUUUCCAACCUGCAAAUUAAAUUUUCUUUUAUGUCAGUUAGGGAUUAAAAGGCAUUUAUGAAACUGCUAACGGAAGCACUUAAGUAAUGUAUGAAAAAGUAAAGAGCUCGCCUCUUUCUUGGGGGAAAACGUCUUUUAUUAGAUCCCAGUCUUCAUUUUUCCAUACAUCAUCGAUGACAAUUAAAUGUCUAGAUUUUCCCAGCAAUAGAAAGAGCUCUGCCUGGAGUUUAUUCUCAUCCAUCUGUUUGAUGUUCUCAUCAUGUGGUCUAAGAUCUUGCAAGAUCUUUUGCCAGAUAUCCUUCCGCUGAAACUCUUUUGAAACACAUACCCAUGCGAAUCGAUUAAAACGAUGUCGAACAAUGUCAUGAUGAAAAACUUGUCUCGCCAGAGUGGUUUUACCAAUACCACCCAUCCCUGAUAUGGAAACCACUUGAAUGUUAUCUUUCUUCACCAAAUGACCAACCAAGUCUUCAACACUUUCUUCCACCCCCACAAGGCCCUUUUCAGAACUCUUCGGAAAUGUUUGUCGGAUCUCCCUCUGCACCCUUUGUCUCUCUUUUAGAGACAGUGAACGGCCAUCGCUCAUGAUUUCUUUUAUUCCAAAGCUCUGCAUGUCCGCAACAACCUCAGACAUUCUCUUAGUUAUGCCUUCAAUGUCUAUAGAAAUAUCUCGUCGGUUCCCUAAGAAACAAGAAAGUUUUCUCACACGCCUCUUGAUCCCUUUUUCUUUACCACUAGAUUCUUUCAAAACAAAGGAUUCAAUUAUAUCUUCAGCAUCAUAAACAAUGUUUUUGACAUCUUCCAAUAAGUUUCUCACAACUUCAUUCUCAUGUUUCUUGGCAUCUGCAUCUUUCAACAAUGACUGUAACUUUCGCAGGUGACGUUCUAGAUCAGUAACAUGCUCAUGCACUCCCUGUAAUCGCUCAGAUUCUCGACUCAGGAGGUCCCAGAGUUUCUCCAUUCCAAAGGACACAACUCCCUCAGCCAGCACUGACACAACUACCUCAGCCAUCACUGAUCUCCUGUCAGAGGAACUUUUUUUCUUAACUUAUUUUUAAUGAAAUAAUUUUAUUUUAUUUUUAAAUCUGAUUCGACCAUAACAGAGGGAAAAAAGACAGAUCGA